rnacentral:rRNA from 1 species
UACGUAGGGUGCAAGCGUUAAUCGGAAUUACUGGGCGUAAAGCGUGCGCAGGCGGUUUUGUAAGUUUGUCGUGAAAUCCCCGGGCUCAACCUGGGAAUGGCGAUGAAGACUGCAAGGCUAGAAUCUGGCAGAGGGGGGUAGAAUUCCACGUGUAGCAGUGAAAUGCGUAGAGAUGUGGAGGAACACCGAUGGCGAAGGGCAGCCCCCUGGGUCAAGAUUGACGCUCAUGCACGAAAGGCGUGGGGAGCAAACAGGAU